GACGAACGCUGGCUGCGUGCUUAACACAUGCAAGUCGAACGCUGAAGCUCAGCUUUUGUUGGGUGGAUGAGUCGCGAACGGGUGAGUAACACGUGAGUAACCUGCCCCCUUCUUUGGGAUAACGCCCGGAAACGGGUGCUAAUACUGGAUAUUCACUGGUCUUCGCAUGGGGGUUGGUGGAAAGGGUUUUUCUGGUGGGGGAUGGGCUCGCGGCCUAUCAGCUUGUUGGUGGGGUGAUGGCCUACCAAGGCUUUGACGGGUAGCCGGCCUGAGAGGGUGACCGGUCACAUUGGGACUGAGAUACGGCCCAGACUCCUACGGGAGGCAGCAGUGGGGAAUAUUGCACAAUGGGCGCAAGCCUGAUGCAGCGACGCCGCGUGAGGGAUGGAGGCCUUCGGGUUGUGAACCUCUUUCGCUCAUGGUCAAGCCGCAACAAUGGUUGUGGUGAGGGUAGUGGGUAAAGAAGCGCCGGCUAACUACGUG
rnacentral:rRNA from 1 species